UACUAUGCUAAUUUUAGUUGCUUAGUAAUCGGAGAUCUUCAUGACCAAUGUCGAUUUUCGCAUAAAAAGGCAAUUAAGAUUAUGAGUAUGCAAAGCAUCUUGAUGUAUGUUUUGUUGAAUAACCAGGUGCAUUCAUUACCCAUAUUUAAAUUUGCGUAAAAAGGCAUAACAUCUCAAGAAAGAAAGAAGUACUCCAAGUAUUAAAAAUUAAA
rnacentral:lncRNA from 1 species